AGCAGCCGCCACGGUAAUACAGAGGGUGCGAGCGUUAAUCGGAUUUACUGGGCGUAAAGCGUGCGUAGGCGGCUUCUUAAGUCGGAUGUGAAAUCCCUGAGCUUAACUUAGGAAUUGCAUUCGAUACUGGGAAGCUAGAGUAUGGGAGAGGAUGGUAGAAUUCCAGGUGUAGCGGUGAAAUGCGUAGAGAUCUGGAGGAAUACCGAUGGCGAAGGCAGCCAUCUGGCCUAAUACUGACGCUGAGGUACGAAAGCAUGGGGAGCAAACAGGAUUAGAUACCCCCGUAGUCCCUGUCUCUUAUAA
rnacentral:rRNA from 1 species